UACAGAGGGGGCAAGCGUUGUUCGGAAUUACUGGGCGUAAAGGGCGCGUAGGCGGCCUGCUAAGUCGAACGUGAAAUCCCUGGGCUCAACCCAGGAACUGCGUCCGAUACUGGUUGGCUUGAAUCCGGGAGAGGGACGUGGAAUUCCAGGUGUAGCGGUGAAAUGCGUAGAUAUCAAGAGGAACACCUGCGGCGAAGGCGGGUUGCUGGGCCGACACUGACGCUGAGGCGCGAAAGCUAGGGGAGCGAACGGG
rnacentral:rRNA from 1 species